UUUUAUGGUGACAAAUGCAUUUGGGCUUCGGCAUGAACUGUGCAUUUUUCAUCUCUGAUAAAAAUCACCCCCUCAUCCGACAAAGUGCAGCCUUAA